AUUUCGCCCAGCGUGAACAGGUCUAGAGGAAUGUGAAUGAUCCUGUGAAGUAGGUAACACAUUAAUCCCUCACUGAAAUACGGCCACAGCAAACUCCUUUUCAAUUCCAGAAGGAAAUGAAAAGGAAUAUCCAAAUACUCAGUUGAAGACUGAAGACGUGCUUUAAACAAGUGAACUGUAAUGACCAGAAAUGCAGUUUCAGUCAGGAUCCCUGGGCUUCUCAACCUAGUGCUUCUAUUAAAAAUGCCAUAGGAUUUUUGCAAUCUCAGGGUCAGAAGGAGGUGAUGGAUGUCCUUUCCCAGCAGUAGUGGUGCCCUCCUUGGAUUUGUAGAACUGCGUACAAAACACAUUUUCAUUUCAACAUCGCUAAGAUGAUGGACAAUACGCUGGGUCUGCAAUAACAUUGACUCAAAAUUCCUUGCUCAUUGUGAGAUAACUUCCUAAAGAUUGCGAGCAAAAGGAAGUCAGAGAACAAAGCAAUGUCAAGUAUGCACAUGUCACAACACAAUGCGCUGAUUCCAAGUCUUUGGAAACAUGCUGAAAGACGUCUGGAAAAAAAAAAAAAAAAAAAGAAGAAAAAAAAAAAAAAAGGAAAUGCUUUCACACAGAAUUUCGACAUGAAAACAACAGCUGAAUGUGCCUGUUCCUGCCAGGAAAAAAUACCCUGAAAAAACAAAAGGUGCUGGAAAACUAGAAAUGAAAUCAUCACAUGCUACACAAGAGGAUAUGAGCAGAGAUCAAGCCCAUUGAAAACAAGCCGAGAGGUUGACCAGCCUACUGGGGUGACUGAAAGGCCAGAAAAGAUGCUGCGGGAAGACUUCCAAGCAUCAAUAAAUAUUGAAGUUCUUUCCAACUCAAUGUUUUGAAAUGUCUUAGAAGUUUUAACCAAAAGGCCUUGCUAUGAUCAACUCUAGUAGGGGAAUAAGAGUAAUAUUUCCACAAGAAAUAUUUUAUUUUCAAUGGUACUUUCUCCAAAAACCACCAAUGGAGAAGUGGUGGGAUUUGAUGACAACAUAGACUUUAAAAAUGUAAUAAACUUAUCUAAUGUAAAAGAUGAUUACAGCUUUCAAAGAUAUGUCCACCAACAAGAACUGCUGCAGCCAGGUGAGAAAUUUCAGUGCUUUUAUUUUGAAACUUGAUUAGCUUGUGAAGGGUUUUUGUGAUAUAGUAGUCUCUGACACAAGGCACCAAGCCUUUGAUGAGCUUGCCACUCAAAUGUCUCUUCAAAGGUAGAAUAACAUGCUAAAGCAAGAUUUUUGUGGUUUAUUCAUAUCAGCUGCAGCGAUUCUUCUACCCAUGGUCAUGGCUUUCAGUGUUCCUCUGUACUGGAGGAUACUGGAGAUAUUCUUGUGUUUAUGUGGAACACUUUUGUAAACCACACGAUUCAUAAAUGUUAUUAAAAAAUUGAAUCAUAAUGGCCUAUCAGCCAGGAAAGACUCCUAAAUCUUUCCUGCAGCUGAAACUGAAUGAAUUUGUGAACAAGUCACAGAAAGACCAGGCAUGCUCUGCAUUCACGCCCUGACUCACAGUAUUUGAUACAGAACUAGCAGAAAAAAUAACAAAUUAAGAUGUUUGAUUUCUGUACCUGUUUACACUGUUGUUAAUGCAGAACCUCUAGAGGGAAAUUUGGCUUUGGAAAAAUCUUUAUUUCAGAGUAUAAACCCAGAAGGAUGAGCCAUGCCCUAAAUAUUCACUUAAUCUACAGAUUUUGAAAGAAACUUAGAAAAUAAUACGCCAUUUUGCACAAGCAUGAAAGAUCUGUACAGCUAGAUAAUGAAUAGCAAAUGAAGCUCAUUGUGAUGAGUGAAAUCAGAUUCAAGGCAAAGUUGUUCUUGAGUGUCCUUCUCCAAUGAUGAAGACUGGCAGAAAUAAGAAAAGCUAAUAAACUUAAACUUUGACUCAGCUUUAACAGUAUUUCCAAAGUCUGUUUCAAAAAAUAUAAACACUUUAAAGAGUAGCCAGAAACCUCAUCUGCUCAGCCAUCACAGAUUUCUCAGCUGUGUUGAAGACAUAGCAACACAAAUUACCCUUGAAAUUUCUAUUUCAAGUCACACAUUUGCCUGAGUAAUAUUUUUAUAUUUUUAGGAGAGUUCUACUAGUAGCACAAGAACUUUUUCCAGACAAGGACUUAGCUUGGGUUUAUGUUAGCAUAUAAUUUGUAAAAGUUUGUAAUAAACUUGCCUUAGUGAGAUUGGCAAAGAUUAUGGGAAGGAAAACAUCACUGUUAACUUCAGGCUACUUGCUUCAAUUUAGACCUCAGGUUUGCUAUGUGAGCUUCAAAGCUACAGAGAAUUGAUGAAUCAUUAUGUAACUAAGACCAGAAUUUCCAGAGUAGUCUUUUUCAGAAAUUCUGCUUUGAUUGUGGAUUUUGAUUUUCAAUAUUAUUGACCAGUGGCCUUACACUUAUGUUGGGAAGUAUACUAAUAGUUUUUCAUUCAGAUAGGAGGAAAUAUGCAAGGCAUAUUUCGAUAUCUUAUGCUUGAGCUGGCAUCCUUCUACAUACCUACUGAAGUCAAAGGUUUAAGGUGCCAACUGAAGUAAGUCUUACAAAUAAACACUUAGGGAAUGUUUAUAUAAACAGGGUAAACAGAAGAGAAAAAUAUCAGUAUGAAUGCUAGUGGUCAGUCUUAAAUUACUACUCUUCUCAGGCCAGUUUUUAUACUCGGAUAUAGGGCCAUCAUUAUUUUUCCAAUGCUUUUCAACUUGUGGUAAGAUAUAAUUUCCUCUCUGCAGUAACUAAAGCAACAAUCUGUUUAGCUGUAUUAGGAAACUAAUCUUGUUAAUAAAUGAUGAAAGGAAACAAGGCAAGGACCUAUUUGCCAAAUUUUUUCUGUAGAAGAAUUAAGUUUUUCCAGGGUCCCUCUUUUGUCCGCACUGAGCAGCUUCUCUGCUCUGGGUGAAGUUUGUAUAUCCUUGGUACAACUCAAAAGCUUGAAAAUUAAAGCAUGCAUCAAUGUCUUUGAAAAUAGAUUUUAGUAACUAUUGUGAUAAUGUUUGUUGUUGUUGUUUGUUUGUUUUUUGUGUGUAUUCUACUGUUUAAAACAUGUAGAUGUUUUGGUCAAAUUCGAGUACGUCACUGAGAUACUGAGCAAGCUCAAAACAGAACAGCUGAUUGCUUUGAAGAGCCAACACUUGAAAUUACUUAAAGCACUCUUCUACCAAAGAGACAGAAGACAGCUUUCAUAUUCUCGAGUCAUCCUACAAAGUCCUGCGUGAAAUAGACUACUGCAGCCUACAGGCAUCAUAGAAAUAUUUCAGUCAAGACCACAAGUUCCACUCUUGCCCCUAUGCUUAUGCUAAUGUGCACGAUCUCUUUGAUGAACAGCAGCAAGGAGACUGGAUAGCUUGAGGUGUAAUUGAUGGGAUGCUGAAGGUCUGGCUGUUGUUUUGGUGGUUAUUUUUAUAGAUUAUAAAGGAACUGACCAUGCAGUGCUACCUCAACUUGUGGCUGAAUCUAACAGCUUCAUGGACUCAGCCCUCCAUUUAGCCCAUUUGGUCAAAUUAGGCUGGUGGUAACUGAAAGCUGUGACCAGCUGAUGGCUAUGUUGAAUGAUAGCUUGUGGAAAUCUCCUUAGUGGACUCAGACCAAAUUUUACUGACAGAAUCUCACUAUCUCCAAGCAAAUUCCUCCAAAAUAAAUGCUAACUCGAGGCUCAGGGGCAACCACAGGUUUAAAGACAAGGAGGGUGAACUUGUGUCUUCUCUAGAAGUAUUGUCUGUAAGCCAGCAAUGAAGUGAAAAAAAGGCACAUUUGUGUCAGCACCACCCAGGCUGUCAAUAAAGAACUCCUGCCCUCAGAACUAUCAAAUCAAAUUCAUAUGAAUUUCCCACUCUUCCAAAACCACUUUCCCACAGGGAAGAAGGGAUCACAAAAUUAAACAGCAUUCCCUUCUUCUCACAUCUUUGUAAUCUGCAAGCACUGUGCCUGUCACAGUGCUCCCAGGAGGUUUCCUUAACCAUAAUGUCUCAUCUCUGCAAACAGCUGUUUCCCUUUUGCACAAGAGUUCUUGGAGAUAUGCUUCACUUAUCAGAACUAUACCACUGAAAAGCUGGUAAAUAACCAAGUUCUGUUGGAAAGAUGAAAUCGCACUGCAGAUAGAUGGAUUUGCUUAACCUAUAAAAUAAUUCUGAGAUAGCUAUUGUUUUGGCAAAAUUCUAAAAUGUAACAAAGUUUGAUUGUUCUUGGCUUCUCCUAAUUUGCUUACUUUGGGGUAAUAGCUGGCCUUCAAUAUGCAUGUUAGUCUCGUUACUGUUAAGUUAAAUAUAUACACACAUAUCUAAGAGAGGUUUGACCAUUUACUGUCAGUGUUCCAAGGUUAGCUGAAGUCUGGACCUAUUACUUUCUCUGUGCUCCACUAAUUGAGACCAAGGCUUAUGCAAGACUUCCUUGGGGAUCACAGGGUCUGAGGUUUUUAUAGUCCACAAGGCUAAAAUUCAAAUAUGAACCACAGCUGUUUGGAUGGAAGUCCUGGACCUCAUCCUUUUGAACUAUAGUGACCUGCUCAGCCUUGCCAUCAUGUGAAACUCAGAAAUCCCUGCACAGAUGAUGACUGGGAUGUGAAAAUUGCCUGCCAAGCAGACCUGGGUAAAGUGAUUGGUUUACAGUGCUCUGGGAUUUGCAGGUGGAAGGACUGCUCUCUCACUCUCCUCUGCUACCCUCUUCCCUUCCAUUUCUGUACAUAUCAUUCUUUUAUAUAUAUAUAUAUAUAUAUAUGCAGAUUUGAUUCCACAUUCACCACCCAAACAGCUGAAUUGAUGUUCCUAUUGAAGAUGGUGAAGUUCCUCCCUUCUGCCAAGUACAGUUAUUUUUAUGAGUCCCCAGUAAGAGGUAAAGUAAGAGAAACAGGGUGUGGGAUAAACUAGUUAAUCUAUUUAAAUAGGGAUAGACCUCUAGCGCCCUAACACUUAAAUACUUUGUCUUCACUCGGCUGUGCUAUAUUUUAACUGGGGACUACAACCAGGACAAACAAGCGUGGCCUUUUCCUACUGUGGAUUGUCAUGCGAAAAUACUUGUGAAGGGGUGGAGUAAACAUUUUUGGGGAUCACACUGCAAGAGGAGAUAUAUGGGAACUCACUGUGAUGCAAAAGGAAAUCAUGUGUUACUCCACAGAUGAUGUGAUUGGCAUUGUGAGCUCAGAUGCGUAAAGACUAUCGAGGCAAAAAAAUCAAGAUUGAAGCAGAAUGAAAUACUCCUUUCUUCGGUAAGUCAGUGGGAGUCAUAAAUACUUCUGCAUCAGCUAGGAAAGCUACAAAAAACUAAAUCACAACUCUAUUUUCAUGCUGAUGCAUGCACUUUAAAGUAAUAUAUAUAAAAAUGCCUUCCUUUUGGCAUAACUGCAAUUACAUAAAUAUUUAGAUUUAUACUAAUAAGUAAUUUUGCAGAAGUUUAAAAUGAUAGGCUGCGUGAUAGCUAUUUAAGGGGAUGGGCAGCCCACCUUCCAGUGGCCACAGUGACUUCCAUCAAGUCGUAAUUGCAGGAGAGGGUGCUUCUGGAAAUUAAUGGUGAAUCUUAUAUUCCCUUGCAUUUAGAAUCCAAAUCUAUUAUUUCAUUACUACUGUUAAUUAUAUAACAAUCAUAUAAUAAUUAUAAAAAUAAUUAUAUAAUAACUAUGUCUGAAUAAAUAAUAAGCAUUUUCAAUAUUAAUGACUGCCUAGCAAGCAAGGCAAAGCAGAUCUUAAUCUGGUUUGAGUUUCUAUCCUUACACAUUCAUUUUACUCUUGCAAAGCAUAUUAAAUACUAUGGAAUGUAUAAAAAAGGCCACAAUUUCUUCUCUAUUGGUAUACUGAAAGUCUUUGUGUGUCCAAGGUAAUAGGAAUUCCCACAUUCGUGCUUACUGUAAAAUACAGCAAGCAAAAGCUAGAUAAAUUCUGUUUAAUAUGGAAAUAAUUUUGGCUGCAUCUUUGGCUUUGUAUGACAUGGAAACUGGUGAUUGUUUAUGCUUUCCUACUUUUUUUGGUCUGCAUUAAAAUCCCACAUGAGAAACAAAUUUUUCUCUAGGAACAAAAUGUUACUUUUUUGGGACUGAGUUCUAAUAAGCUGGGUAGUACGUCUGCUUCUUUUCAGCUGGGAAAUUGCAAUGCAUAUAAAAUCCAGAUGGAUAACACAUGAGGCUGGAAGCAGCCUUGGCCAAUCAGCCACGUCACUUGAUUAAAAGAAACCUAUAAUAAUUUAAGUAAAAAUAGUACCCUAACAAAGUAACAGAGCAACAAACUGGCUGCAGCAUGCGAUUUCAUCACAGUUCCAAUAUUGCUUUACUUUUGCUGGUUGGUCCUUUCAUAUCUUAUUGUAAAUUAACCUAUUUGCAUUAAGCGUGCAUGGAACUUGUGAUUAAAGCCCCAAAAUGUCAGUGAUGGAAGAUACAUGAUAAGCAGGAUGAGGGGGGAAAUCCAUCACCAGACUACAGAAGGCCACAAGAACCUAUUGCUCUUAGGGCAGUGGUGCACUUGAAGAACUCAGCUGAGAGUUUUGCCAUGAGGAAUCACCUACCCUGGCACGUGCCACACUAGUGCAGACCAGUACUUUUUGUAUGGAUUUUGUCUGUGACUGUCAGAAAGCAAGUAAGUGCAUCAAUGCAAUUACAAGGUCACUCUGCGGAAAAACUCCUGAGUAUCCCGCGAGAUGCAGCAGAUUUGUGGGUGAGACUGUCUAAGGCAGCCUGUGAAGAAGUCACAGACAGGACUUGCAGAGGGAUGGAGCCACAUCUGGAAUCCCUGUGGGCAAUUGAAGGAAUGUUUAUUAUUCUUUGUUUAUUAUUUUGAGUGUGUACUCUCCCUCUUCCUUUCUUUGUCUCUCUUUGUUAUUUGUGUAAUAAAAUUCCUCUAGGCAUACAAAGUAAGUAAGUCAUCUGGAAUUGUGCAGUUCCCUCUGCCAGGAAGCUGGAAAAGCCUCUCGUGCAGAGACAAAAGUAUGGGCUCAUCUCAAACACUGAGAAAUUACAGAAAUAUUCACCAUUUGCCUUUGAGUUAUAUUUACAUAGGAAAGAACUGUGGCAAAUACGUGUGCUUCUUGCUGUUAAAAAAAAUUGGCUUUUAUCCUGCCCAAGGUGUUGUGUUUAUUUAAAAGUUGUUGAGAAAUAAUUUGUACAUUCUAAAAUAAAGCAUGCAAAAUACAUUAAAAGGGCCCAGUGACAAAGUUGUUUUUUUUUUUUUUGCCAGUGGGUGUGGAGAAGGAAAAGGAAAUGAGUAAGUAGAGAGGAGCGUCUUUAUGGCCACAUGGCUAGUGAAAAUUUCUAUUUAUUCUUUGGGGAAAAAGCAAAGUAGCUGCAUAGUUGCUGGUUGGAUAGGUGCCGGGACUAUUUUUAUUGGCAGGCAGCUCUGAGUGGCUGAAAGGCGGUCAUUAACACUCUGACACAAAGUGCUGACAGGGCGAUUAUAAGAUUAACACCCUAUGUUAUAUUAACAGUGUCAAAACCUCCCCGUACCUGUCAGUGAGAAAUAAUGGCACGAAGGAAAACAUUAUAGACAUGCUGAGACUUUAGCAUUGAAAUACCAUGCAGCUAUUCACUUUUUGAAAUUGAUCUAAAUAUCUAGAUGACCUACUGAAGGCUCAUAAAAUAAUGUGAUUUAAAUGGCAGCUUCACCAAAUCAAAAAAUGAAUGCAAAAGUUAAGCCGCCCAGCUUACUUACUCUCUUGUUGACACUUUUAGCCCUGAUCUCCCUGGCAGUGGGUCUCUCACAACUGCUGCCUUUCAGUAGAGUUAUGGUUUGAGAUCUCAUAAAUUUAGGAUUUGACCUUAGGACUUUUGACAAAAACAGAGCUUUUCUGGAGAAUAUUAUUACUGGUCAAAAUUCAACCUCGGUCUUUCUCCAGGACUGCUAGUCAUCAUAGACUGGUUUUAUCAGUGAGAGCCUUUGGACCAUAAGGACCAAUCUGCAUUUAAAAUGUCUCUGCUCCACGUUCAUUAGAACUGGAAUAGCAAACCCUCUGGCAUAGCUGUCCUGGAGAAUAUCCAAAGAAUGGCAACGAAACCAGUGAAGUUUCUGGAUCACAAGUCUUAUGGAGAGCAACUGAGGGAAAUGAGAUUGGUCAUUCUGGAGAAGGUGAGGUUCGGGGAAGACCUUAUCACACUCUACAGCUGCCUAAAAGGAGGUUGUGGUGAGAUGAGGGCUCUUCUCCCAGGUUUCAGUGAUAGGAUGAGAGAUGAUGACCUUAAAUUGCACCAGGGGAGGUUCAAGUUGGAUAUUAGGGAAAAUUUCUUCUCAGGAGUGGUGAUGCACUGGCACAGGCUGCUCAGGGAGGCGGUAGAGUCACUGUCCCUGGAGGUGUUCAAGAAAAGGGUGGGUGUGACACUGAGGGACAUAAUCUAGAGCAGUCGUGGCCGUGGCUUGAUGGUUGGACUAGAUGAUCGUAGUGGUCUUUUCAACCUUGAUGAUUCUAUGAUAGCUUCAGCUAGACUGCCUUAUGCUGCCUUAAGUUCUGCCAGUUUUGAUUAAGAGGAUAAGCCAGGACAAAAAAAGUUCUUCCUGUAAGACUAAAUCUGUACCUUCACUAGUAAAAAAUAUUGUUCAAGUGUUGCCAGGCAAAGCAUUAUUUCUGUAUUUUUAUUAUUAUAUUUUAUGUUGUAUAUGAUGAUAAUACAGUCUAUAUAUUUUUGUCUGUAAGACUGAUAAAUAAAAUGCAAAUUAAAUAUUCUUCUAAUACUUUGGUUUCUAACCAAAUAAAGACAUGGUCAAAU
ensembl:lncRNA